rnacentral:misc_RNA from 1 species
GUAGGUGAACCUGCGGAAGGAUCAUUACCGAGAUAGGGUUCCUUUACGGGCCCAACCUCCAACCCAUUGUCUAUUAUACCUCUGUUGCCUCGGCGGGCCGUCGGAGCUCCUUACGGAGCGAAGCCGUCGGUCCCUCGCAGGGCUUUCGAGCGCCCGCCGCAGGACUAUUUAAACUCUUUUUAAAAGCAGUAUUCUGAGUGGGAUUUUAAUAACUUCAAAACUUUCAACAACGGAUCUCUUGGUUCUGGCA